rnacentral:rRNA from 1 species
UACGACUACAUAUCAGGCAUAUCAAUAAGCGGAGGAAAAGAAACUAACAAGGAUUCCCCUAAUAACGGCGAGUGAAGCGGGAAGAGCUCAAACUUGAAAUCUUAAAGGGUUUCCCUUUACGAAUUGUAGUUUAAAGAAGUGUUUUCUGUUGGAGUUUCGGUAAAAGUUCUUUGGAAUAGGACAUCAUAGAGGGUGAGAAUCCCGUAUUUGACCGUUACUUUCCAGCUGUGUGAUACACUUUCAAAGAGUCGGAUUGUUUGGGAAUGCAGUCCAAGAUGGGUGGUAAAUUUCAUCUAAAGCUAAAUAUUGGCGAGAGACCGAUAGCGAACAAGUACCGUGAGGGAAAGAUGAAAAGAACUUUGAAAAGAGAGUUAAACAGUACGUGAAAUUGUCAAAAGGGAAGCGUUUGACACCAGUGUUGUUUAGUUGAAAAUCAAUUCAAUAGUUUUUGAUUCUAAGUAGUAUUGACUUCAUCAGCUUGCUGCUUUCUUCUCAGAAAUUAUUGAAUGCACUUUUCAGUUAACAAGUCAACAUCAAUUUCUUUUGUUGUAAAAGGGUAAGAGGAAGGGAUGGCUUUCUCUUCGGCGCAAGUGUUUAUAGCCUUGUAGCCUCUGCAAUCGGAGAGAUUGAGGUCUGCAGCGUAGAUCCUUCGGGGUUAGAUACGCUUGUGCUAAGCUAUAGCCUUGUAUAGACAACUUGUUGACUAUGCUCAGUCAUGUAGCUUACUCGCUGAUGCUAUUUUACCUACGCUUAGGAUGUUGAACGCGCACAGAGUCUC